UACGUAGGUGGCGAGCGUUGUCCGGAUUUACUGGGCGUAAAGGGCGCGCAGGCGGUUCUGUUUGUCGAGUGUGAAAGCCCCGGGCUCAACCUGGGAACUGCGCUCGAAACGGCGGAACUAGAGUUCGGGAGAGGAGAGUGGAAUUCCCAGUGUAGAGGUGAAAUUCGUAGAUAUUGGGAAGAACACCGGUGGCGAAGGCGGGUCUCUGGGCCGAUACUGACGCUGAGGAGCGAAAGCGUGGGGAGCGAACAGG
rnacentral:rRNA from 1 species